rnacentral:rRNA from 9 species
GUGGUAGUAAAUACUCCAGCGAGGCCCUGGAGAACUGACGCGGAGAAGGGUUUCGCGUGAACAGUAAUUGCUCGCGAGUCAGUCGAUGCUAAGCUCAAGGAUAGAUCUUAUGUUGAGGUGGCUUUUUUAUGUUUUUAAAUAUAUACUAAUCCAUAAAAUUCCCAAAAAGUAGUAAUUACGCAAAUCGUUAUCAAACGACGUGGCUUUUUACCAUGGUUGAAGCACAUGGUGGUAUAUAUAACUUAUAUCUUCUACUCCAGGGUUAAGCCAUACUAGUA